GGGCCUGUAGUUCAAUGGACAGAAUACCGGGUUUCGGCCCCGUUGAUCUAGGUUCGAAUCCUAGCAGGCUCA
rnacentral:tRNA from 1 species